GUUUGCGUGUCCGAGUGGUUUAUGGUGCUUCCCUGCUAAGGAAGUGUACGGAAACGUACCGGAGGUUCGAAUCCUCCCGCAAACG
rnacentral:tRNA from 1 species